rnacentral:rRNA from 1 species
UAAAGCGUAAAAGGGCGCAGGGCGAAUGCCUUGGCAUUGGGAGCCGAAGAAAGACGUGGUUAACUGCGAAAAGCUGCGGGGAGCUGUAAGCGAGCAUUGAUCCGCAGAUGUCUGAAUGGAGCAAUCCGCAUAGAGUUUGUCUAUGCAUCCUGUACUGAAUCAAUAGGUACAGGAGGGGAACCGCCUGAACUGAAACAUCUAAGUAGGGCGAGGAAGAGAAAUCAACCGAGAUUUCGUAAGUAGUGGCGAGCGAACGCGAAAGAGGCCAAACCAAUGGAAGAAAUUUCAUUGGGGUUUUGGACUGCGGACGGCAUUGACGGAAGCUAAUUGAAUGGUCUGGGAAGGCCAGCCAAAGAAUGUGAAAGCCAUGUAAGUGAAAGAAGAAGUCAGCCAGCAGGAUCCAGAGUACCGCGGGGCACGUGAAAUCCCGUGGGAAGAUGGGGGGACCACCCUCCAAGCCUAAAUACUACCCAAUGACCGAUAGCGAAGAGUACUGUGAAGGAAAGGUGAAAAGAACCCCGGGAGGGGAGUGAAAAGAACCUGAAACCCUGUGCCUACAAGCACAUAGAGCACGUCAAAGUGUGAUAUGGUACCUUUUGUAGAAUGGUCCGGCGAGUUAUUGUAUGCAGCGAGGUUAAGGACUGAAGGUCUGGAGCCGAAGCGAGAGCGAGUCUGACAAGGGCGACGAGUUGCAUGCAAUAGACCCGAAACCGGGUGACCUAGCCAUGUCCAGGCUGAAGUGGAGGUAAAACUCCAUGGAGGGCCGAACCGACCUCCGUUGAAAAGGCGGCGGAUGAGAUGUGGCUAGCGGAGAAAUUCCAAUCGAACCCGGAUAUAGCUGGUUCUCCCCGAAAUAGCUUUAGGGCUAGCGUUGUAUUAGAUUUCCGGGGGUAAAGCACUGAAUAGGCUAGGGGCCGAGAGGUUACUGAACCUUAUCAAACUAAGAAUACCGGAAAAUUGAUGUACAGCAGUCAGACUGUGUGAGAUAAGUCUCAUAGUCAAAAGGGAAACAGCCCAGACCCACAGCUAAGGUCCCUAAACAGGUUUAAGUGGAAAAGGAUGUGGAAUUGCCCAGACAACCAGGAUGUUGGCUUAGAAGCAGCCAUACAUUAAAAGAGUGCGUAAUAGCUCACUGGUCGAGUGACUCUGCGCCGAAAAUUCAACGGGGCUAAAAUCUGUACCGAAGCUUGGGCUUGAUCAGCAAUGAUCAGGGGUAGGGGAGCGUCAUAUAUGGGAAGAAGUCAUAGCGGAAGCGGUGGUGGACUAUAUAUGAGAGAGAAUGCCGGAAUGAGUAGCGAGAAUUAUGUGAGAAUCAUAAUGGCCGAAAAUCUAAGGUUUCCUGAGGAAGGUUCGUCCGCUCAGGGUAAGCCGGGAGCUAAGGUGAGGCGGAAACGCGUAGCCGAUGCACAUACGGUAGAAAUUCCGUAGCCUCCGAAACAUUUAAGCACAGGGACACUUUUGAAGGGUCUGGCCGGGCGAUGGUUGCCUCGGUCGUAAGGGAAGCUUUAAGCUGGAAGCAGACUUGGAAAGAGGCGAGAAAAGCUGUGUGAAUAUGUAAGGAGCCCGUACCGCAAACCGACACAGGUAGAUAGGAAGAAGAUUCUAAGGCCAACGGGAGAAGGGUUGUUAAGGAACUCGGCAAGUUGACCCCGUAACUUCGGGAGAAGGGGUGCUCGAAAGAGCCGCAGAGAAUAGGCCCAAGCGACUGUUUAGCAAAAACACAGCUCUAUGCUAAAUCGAAAGAUGACGUAUAUGGGGUGACACCUGCCCGGUGCUGGAAGGUUAAGAGGAGAUGUGAGAGCAUUGAAUUGAAGCCCCAGUAAACGGCGGCCGUAACUAUAACGGUCCUAAGGUAGCGAAAUUCCUUGUCAGGUAAGUUCUGACCCGCACGAAUGGUGUAACGAUUUGGGCACUGUCUCAACAACCCGCCCGGCGAAAUUGUAGUACCGGUGAAGAUGCCGGUUACCCGCGACUAGACGGAAAGACCCCAUGGAGCUUCACUGUAGCUUAAUAUUGAAUUUUGGUAUUUCAUGUACAGGAUAGGUGGGAGACUGGGAAAUACAGGCGUCAGCUUGUAUGGAGUCACUGUUGGGAUACCACUCUUGAAGUGCUGAAAUUCUAACCUGCAGCCAUGAAACUGGCUGGGGGACAUUGUUAGGUGGGCAGUUUGACUGGGGCGGUCGCCUCCAAAAGAGUAACGGAGGCGCUCAAAGGUUCGUUCAGCACGGAUGGAAAUCGUGCACUGAGUGUAAACGCAUAAACGAGCCUAACUGCGAGAAUGACGGUUCGAGCAGUAACGAAAGUUGGAGUUAGUGAUCCGGCGGUAUGUGAAUGGAAAUGCCGUCGCUCAACGGAUAAAAGCUACCCUGGGGAUAACAGGCUGAUCUCCCCCAAGAGUCCACAUCGACGGGGAGGUUUGGCACCUCGAUGUCGGCUCAUCGCAUCCUGGGGCUGAAUUCGGUCCCAAGGGUUUGGCUGUUCGCCAAUUAAAGCGGUACGCGAGCUGGGUUCAGAACGUCGUGAGACAGUUCGGUCCCUAUCUGUUGCGGGCGCAGGAAUAUUGAGAGGAGCUGUCCUUAGUACGAGAGGACCGGGAUGGACGUACCGCUGGUGCACCAGUUGUUCUGCCAAGGGCAUAGCUGGGUAGCUAAGUACGGACGAGAUAAACGCUGAAGGCAUCUAAGCGUGAAACUCCCCUCGAGAUAAGUGUUCCCAUCCUUCGGGAGUAAGGCCCCUUGUAGACUACAAGGUUGAUAGGUCAGGAGUGGAAGUGCAGUAAUGUAUGGAGCGGACUGAUACUAAUAGGCCGAGGGCUUGACCUU